GACGAACGCUGGCGGCGUGCUUAAUACAUGCAAGUCGAACGGAAAGGCCUCCACCUUGUAGGAAGUGCUCGAGCGGCGAACGGGUGAGUAACACGUGGGGGAUCUGCCUUGUACUGCGGGAUAAGCUUGGGAAACGGGUGCUAAUACCGGAUAGGACCAUGGAUCAGUGUCUCAAGGUGUAAAAAUUACUGUUUCGUUGCAGGAUGAGCACGCGGCCUCUUAGUUUGUAGGUGGGGUAAUGGCGUCCCAAGGCGUCGACGGGUAGCCGGCCUGAGAGGGUGGACGGCCGCGUUGGGACUGAGGUCCGGCCCAGACUCGUACGGGGCGCAGCGGUGGCGACUGUUGCGGACUGGGGGCAAGCCUGAUGCCGCGGCGCGGGGUGGGGAGGGACGCCCUUCGUGUUGUAAACUCCUUUCGUUAGAAACGAAGCCACACCUUUUUUGGGUGUGAUGACCGUUCCCUUGUCAGGAAGCACCGGCUAACUACGUG
rnacentral:rRNA from 1 species